UUUUCCUACGGGGCGCAGCAGUGGGGGAUAUUGGACAAUGGGGGAAACCCUGAUCCAGCGACGCCGCGUGAGUGAAGAAGUAUUUCGGUAUGUAAAGCUCUGUCAGCAGGGAAGAAAGAAAUGACGGUACCUGACCAAGAAGCCCCGGCUAACUACGUGCCAGCAGCCGCGGUAAUACGUAGGGGGCAAGCGUUAUCCGGAAUUACUGGGUGUAAAGGGAGCGUAGACGGUGAUGCAAGUCUGGAGUGAAAGGCGGGGGCUCAACCCCGGGACUGCAUUGGAAACUGGCAUGCUGGAGUGCCGGG
rnacentral:rRNA from 1 species